rnacentral:lncRNA from 1 species
AAGUCUGGCACUGUGGCACUCUCUUGAUUACAGCAAGACAUAUCAUACCACCGUCUUCACAAAAUACUCUGAUUCAGCAUCUGUCGUAAAUGCUACUUGAACCUUGCAGCACCCAUGCUAGUUCAGGGACGAUGAAAUUUAUAGUGACUGGAUUUAAAGAAUUCUCGGGCGUGGAAGAAAAUCCAACGGAAUACAUUGUCAAUAAUCUACAAGACUAUCUCAGAUCGAGAGGGAAACCCCUGCCAGGUGAAUAUCUUACCUGUGCAGCCGAUUCAGAAACAACGUGUGUGCAAGGUUGGUGAUGUUGUUUCUUAUAACAUAGAUAUAUUCUAGAAUGUGUUUACAGGUGGUGCAGAAGCUGUGACGUUCACGGCUCUGAAGGUCGCUGGCAAAGAAGUCUCGGAAUGGCUUGCACUAGCUGCAAAAACUGCAUCCGAGAGCACGCCGGAUGAUGCAGAGA